rnacentral:rRNA from 1 species
AAUGAACGCUGGCGGCACGCCUAACACAUGCAAGUCGAGCGGCAGCGCGAUAUGUAGCAAUACAUAUUGGCGGCGAGCGGCGGACGGGUGAGGAACACGUAGGAACCUACCCUCGAGUGGGGGAUAACCAAGGGAAACUUUGGCUAAUACCGCAUGAACUCGAGAGAGCAAAGCUGCCGCAAGGUGGCGCUCGAGGAGGGGCCUGCGUCCGAUUAGCUAGUUGGUGAGGUAAGAGCUCACCAAGGCGAUGAUCGGUAACUGGUCUGAGAGGACGACCAGUCACACGGGGACUGGGACACGGCCCAGACUCCUACGGGAGGCAGCUGUGGGGAAUAUUGGACAAUGGGGGCAACCCUGAUCCAGCGAUGCCGCGUGAGUGAAGAAGGCCUUCGGGUCGUAAAGCUCUUUAGGUUGGGAAGAAGGGUGAUGGAGGAAAUGCUAUCACUUUGACGGUACCGACAGAAUAAGCACCGGCAAACUCUGUGCCAGCAGCCGCAGUAACAC